rnacentral:rRNA from 1 species
GACGAACGCUGGCGGCGUGCUUAACACAUGCAAGUCGAACGGAAAGGCCCUGCUUUUGUGGGGUGCUCGAGUGGCGAACGGGUGAGUAACACGUGAGUAACCUGCCCUUGACUUUGGGAUAACUUCAGGAAACUGGGGCUAAUACCGGAUAGGUGCUCCUGCUGCAUGGUGGGGGUUGGAAAGUUUCGGCGGUUGGGGAUGGACUCGCGGCUUAUCAGCUUGUUGGUGGGGUAGUGGCUUACCAAGGCUUUGACGGGUAGCCGGCCUGAGAGGGUGACCGGCCACAUUGGGACUGAGGUACGGCCCAGACUCCUACGGGAGGCAGCAGUGGGGAAUAUUGCACAAUGGGCGGGAGCCUGAGGCAGCAACGCCGCGUGCGGGAUGACGGCCUUCGGGUUGUAAACCGCAUUCGCCUGUGACGAAGCGUGGGUGACGGUAAUGGGUAAAGAAGCACCGGCUAACUACGUG